GAUGAACGCUGGCGGCGUGCCUAAUACAUGCGAGUCGAGCGAACAGACGAGGAGCUUGCUCCUCUGACGUUAGCGGCGGACGGGUGAGUAACACGUGGAUAACCUACCUAUAAGACUGGGAUAACUUCGGGAAACCGGAGCUAAUACCGGAUAAUAUAUUGAACCGCAUGGUUCAAUAGUGAAAGACGGUUUUGCUGUCACUUAUAGAUGGAUCCGCGCCGCAUUAGCUAGUUGGUAAGGUAACGGCUUACCAAGGCAACGAUGCGUAGCCGACCUGAGGGGGUGAUCGGCCACACUGGAACUGAGACACGGUCCAGACUCCUACGGGAGGCAGCAGUAGGGAAUCUUCCGCAAUGGGCGAAAGCUUGACGGAGCAACGCCGCGUGAGUGAUGAAGGUCUUCGGAUCGUAAAACUCUGUUAUUAGGGAAGAACAAAUGUGUAAGUAACUAUGCACGUCUUGACGGUACCUAAUCAGAAAGCCACGGCUAACUACGUG
rnacentral:rRNA from 1 species